rnacentral:rRNA from 1 species
AAGACCCCUUAAAGACGAUAAGGUAGAUAGGCUUCAGGUGGAAGUGCGGUAACGCACGGAGCUGAGAAGUACUAAUCGGUCGAGGGCUUGACCUG